rnacentral:rRNA from 1 species
GAUGAACGCUAGCGGCAGGCUUAACACAUGCAAGUCGAGGGGUAUUGGUUUUCGGACCAAGAGACCGGCGCACGGGUGCGUAACGCGUAUGCAAUCUACCUUUUGCAGAGGGAUAGCCCAGAGAAAUUUGGAUUAAUACCUCAUAGUAUAGUACUUUGGCAUCAAGGAACUAUUAAAGUCACAACGGCAAAGAUGAGCAUGCGUCCAUUAGCUAGUUGGUAAGGUAACGGCUUACCAAGGCUACGAUGGUAGGGGUCCUGAGAGGGAGAUCCCCCACACUGGUACUGAGACACGGACCAGACUCCUA